CGUGAAGACAUGCAACAACAACAAAACCUGCAUGACACAAGGAUUUAGAUGUAUGGACUCUACUGACCUGCAGAAAGAUUUCAGAUAGGGGUUUUCUCCUACUUGGAGAAGCUGAGGAUUGAUCCUGGAAAGGGAUUUUGAGACAAAGGAAUUUGUUGACUGAAAAUGGUGUGGUUUUUCAAUGUGCCACUCAUGUAUAUACUUGAGGCCUGGGAUACUCUUGCUGCCACUACAAAUGGAUGCGAGAGCUGGACAACGAAGAAAGCAGACAAGAAGAAAAAUUCAUUUGAGAUGUGG